AUGGGCAGAAGGGCACUUGAAGGACCAGACGGGCAGAAGAGGACUAUCAGGGCACUAGAAGGACCAGACGGGCACUAUCAGGGUACUAACACCAUUAUCACACUCCUCAAGCCAUUGGAUACCAUCUCUCACUCCUUCUCAGUUGAAAAAUGCAAUAACUUCCUAUCCUUCUUCAAUGAUAAAAUCAGCACAAUCCACAGCCAGUUGACCAUCGACCCCGCCCUACGUCCCAAACCGGAUCCCCCCCUAACCACCGGUCAAUCCUUCUCCACAUUUGCUACCAUCACCUCCUCUGAUCUUUCCUCCAUAGUCUCAACCAUGAAAUCAACAACCUGCAAUCUGGACCCGCUCCCCACCACACUUCUAAAGGCCUGUCUCCCCAUUCUCUCCACCCUCAUCACUAACACUGUAAACUCCUCUCUAUCCUCCGGCCAUGUCCCCUCCUCCCUAAAGCUUGCAUCAUUCACCCCCCUACUAAAGAAACCCGGCCUGGAUCCUGAUUCCCCUAACAACUACCGCCCCAUCUCCAAUCUACCUUUUCUGUCUAAAAUCCUGGAACGUGUUGUUGCCAAACAACUCAUCACCUACCUUGACACCAACGACCUCUUUGAACUCUUCCAAUCCGGUUUCCGCUCCAAACACAGUACAGAAACUGCCCUCCUCAAAUUGACCAAUGAACUUCUGCUAUCCUCUGACACUGGCUCCCUAAAUAUCCUCAUCCUCCUUGACCUCAGUGCUGCCUUUGACACGAUCAAUCACUCCAUUCUCCUCUCCCGUCUCCAAUCCACCCUUGGCAUCACUGGCACCGCCCUCUCCUGGCUCGGAUCCUAUCCCUCCGACAGAUAUCAAUUCAUCGCCAUCAACAACUGCUUGGUCCACUCCUCUUCAUUCUGUACAUGCUUCCUCUUGGUCAGAUCCUCCGUCACCAUGGACUCCGGUUCCAUUGUUACGCCGAUGACACACAGCUUUACCUCCCCUCCAAAACCAUCAGUCCUUCCAC
rnacentral:lncRNA from 1 species